rnacentral:rRNA from 1 species
UGGGGAAUAUUGGACGAUGGGCGCAAGCCUGAUCCAGCCAUGCCGCGUGAGUGAUGAAGGCCUUAGGGUUGUAAAGCUCUUUUAUCCGGGACGAUAAUGACGGUACCGGAGGAAUAAGCCCCGGCUAACUUCGUGCCAGCAGCCGCGGUAAUACGAAGGGGGCUAGCGUUGCUCGGAAUCACUGGGCGUAAAGGGCGCGUAGGCGGCGUUUUAAGUUGGGGGUGAAAGCCUGUGGCUCAACCACAGAAUUGCCUUCGAUACUGGGACGCUUGAGUGUGGUAGAGGUUGGUGGAACUGCGAGUGUAGAGGUGAAAUUCGUAGAUAUUCGCAAGAACACCGGUGGCGAAGGCGGCCAACUGGACCAUCACUGACGCUGAGGCGCGAAAGCGUGGGGAGCAAACAGGAUUAGAUACCCUGGUAGUCCACGCUGUAAACGAUGAAUGCCAGCCGUUGGGGGCUUGCCUUUCAGUGGCGCAGCUAACGCUUUGAGCU